UACGGAGGGGGCUAGCGUUGUUCGGAAUUACUGGGCGUAAAGCGCACGUAGGCGGCUUUGUAAGUUAGAGGUGAAAGCCCGGGGCUCAACUCCGGAAUUGCCUUUAAGACUGCAUCGCUAGAAUUGUGGAGAGGUAAGUGGAAUUCCGAGUGUAGAGGUGAAAUUCGUAGAUAUUCGGAGGAACACCAGUGGCGAAGGCGGCUCACUGGCUCGAUACUGACGCUGGAGGUGACGAAAGCGUGGGGAGCAAACAGG
rnacentral:rRNA from 1 species